UACGUAGGCAGCAAGCGUUGUUCGGAAUUACUGGGCGUAAAGCGUGCGUAGGCGGUUCGUUAAGUUCGUUGUGAAAGCCCCGGGCUCAACCUGGGAAUGGCAAUGGAAACUGGCGGGCUGGAGUAUGGCAGAGGGGGGUGGAAUUCCGCGUGUAGCAGUGAAAUGCGUAGAGAUGCGGAGGAACACCGAUGGCGAAGGCAGCCCCCUGGGCCAAUACUGACGCUCAGGCACGAAAGCGUGGGGAGCAAACAGG
rnacentral:rRNA from 1 species